CCCCACCCUGUCCCCCACUCACGCACUCUCCGCGAGCAAUUUCAGGUCGCGAGAGAGCUCGCCGCUCCGUCCUUGCCCGCCGUCCCCGCCGCCGCGCAGUCCGCGGCGUCGUCCGCGUCGCCGCCGCUCUGUCCCCGGCCGUCCCUGCCCCUCCCCUCUCCAUCUGCAUCGGCCACGACGCCGUCCCCCUCGCGCCGCUGCAGCUCACGAAGCCAUCGCCUUCGCCCAGCCGCUCAGCGCUCACCCUCGCCUCCGCUCGCCGAUCGCGCCCUCACCCAGCGACGCCACUCGCCGCCAUCCCGGCCCCGUCCGAUCGACUUUGGCCCGUGGAUAGGAACUAAGGGCUUCUCGAAUCGCGUCCGCGCCGCCGCUCCGUCCCAGCUGGAGAUCCAUCUGCGCCGCCGCAACGACGCCGUCCGCCGUCCGCGCCGCCUCCAGCGUCGACGAUCCGCUGCAGCGAAGGAAGGCGCGGUACCGCCGCCGCCGUUGGAGGUCGGGGCUGCCGAUCCCCGCCCGCUCUCCGGCCCUGCCGCUGCACCGGGGAUGCUCAAGGUUGGGACCCCUCGGUCACGCCGUCCCCGACCGCCCGACGGUUCCUCGGCGGCGCGGUCGCGCCAUCCCCCAUGCUCCAGCCAUUCCACCAUGCCGUUGCCUGAUCUGCGGUUCAAGCCUUCAAGGUAUACGUCUUCAAUCCUACUGUAUCGAGUAAAUCAUGGCUCUGAAAUCUAUUUGCAAGGACGUGCGAUGGACCGCCAUGCCGUCCAUGGGAGCAAUUGGUACGAGCAGAUGCGGAGCAGGUUAGGGUAGUCCAAUCGGAAUUUGCUUGUUACCUAAAAUUGUGAUUCCAUUUAAGGUGUCCGAUUUUCUCCACUUGUUCAUUUGUUGGAGGUAGUGGGAAGUAGUAAACAGGCUGCACCUGCACAUCACCCGUAUCAAUGUGGGGUGCUUUUUUUGGAUGCUUCAGGCCUUCAAGUUUUGUGCUCACAAAUUAUUUGAUGAUUUUGCUCACUGGUUUCAGCUAAGAGGAUGGAGGUCGAACGGUUUCAACAACGCUUUCAGCUAAAAACCCUAAUGUCGGGUUUUUCUCUCCACUAUCUAUUAUGCCAUUUCUUAUUUAACUUCCUGCAAAUAGUGCCAUGAUAAUAUAAGUGCUUAAAGUUUUUGUCUUGUUAUAUAUAUGAUUUAUGAACCAGCAAAUACUCAGCAAUGGAGGCAUAGUGAAAUUCAAACAGAGGAGAAAACAGCUAAUAAAUGGUUGCUAGAAUCCAAGGGAAUCCAGAUCUGUUGGUAUUCUUGAUGCUUCUUCUGAUUCCAAAAUUAUAUGGAUUCAGUGUGUUUUAAGUUCUAUAUGAUGCUGCACAUAAUUACCAUUUGUAUUUAGUGCUUAGUUCUUGUUAUGUGUCUAAUAUAAGUACAAGAUAAUUGGUUGAAUAUCAUAAUAUAUUAAAGAUAAGAGGUACAGCAAGCCUGUCAAGGUGUCACAAAAAGGUACAAGGCUAACAAGCUAUUUCUGAAAUGGUAGAAGAGCAUGCUGACCCUCUCCUAUUUUUUUGGGUUGUAUUAAUCAUGAAGCAUUGUAUAGGAAUACUAUGUUCGUUUGCUAAUAACCUCUUUUUUGCAGAUUGUCAGUGUGUUCUGGCUAGCUAGGUACUUCUACAAAAUUUAAAUUGUUUGUUCAUUUGAGUUUCUUCGAGCGUUCAAAAUACAGGUAACAAGUUUUGGGAUUUGUAAAGCAUGCACUAUAAAUUCUGAAAUUUCUGAAUAUAAAUGUGUGAUGAACUGAAGAUUUCAUUCAUAUAUGGCUGCUGCAUUAUGAACUGAAGAUUUCAUUAAUAUAACUGAAUAUAAAUGCAUUAUGAAUGGAGUGCUCUAAUUCAAUCAUAUAUAUCACAUAAUUCUAUCCUGUCAGUUUACAUGUCUCUUGAACAUGCUAAAAAUAGUAAAACCAUCUUUAGGAGUUUUCUUGACCCAUAUUCACUGGCCUCACUGUCAUGGUUUCCAUAUUCCUUCCCCUCUGGAAACAGUCUACCUAUAUCAAGAUAAUCCCACAGAUUCUUAGACCAGAUUUUAGUUGAUAAACCACCAAAGUUGUUUUCCACCAUAACAAAGAUGUUUGCCUUUUACGAUGCUAUUAUACUGGCUUGGCUUUUACAUGUCUCCUUUUAGUUUAAUUGAUUUUUAACAUUUUUUAAGAUUGUUGAGAAUUACUCCUUUUUGAUCUUUGAAGACCAUAAGUUUGCUCACAUCGGAAAUACAGUAACCAAACAAUAUGAAGGGUAAGAAAACAAUAUUAGUUUUUAUACUUUGAUUCAGAGGAAUAUUCCACAAAUUGGACUGGGUUGAUAUUGUUAAUGGCAUAUUGUACCUGGACUAGGAACUGUAGAUGGCUUGAAGCUGAAGGUAUGUUAUGCUUCAUAUAUACGGCUUGCGUGAUAACUAUUAAUAUUGACUUAAAAAAGAAUAAUUUGAUGUUGCAGAUGAUAGUAGCUGAAUAAUUGUAGUGCUCACGGUAACUGUUGUGCUCUUUCAUUGAAGGGUUUGCCUAAAGGAAAAGGAAGAGGGCUACUUCUGCUUGCUGAAAUGAGCUCUCUGCUGGCAACCUUGCUCAGGGAGAUUACACUGCUGCAGCUGUAAAGAUUGCAGAGCAGCAUCCUGACUUUCUGAUCGGGUUUAUUUCAGUAAAUCCUGCAUCUUGGUUGUCUAGAAACCAAGGAACGACUGUUAUGAACAGUACCUUCCAUGAGAAGCAUGGCCCCAUUAAUUUAAAAUUGUGUACUUGAAUAUAUUUUAGUGUUCUUUGUUUAUGUUUUUUUGACAUAGUCAUGUAAGAUUGAUGGUUUUUUUAGCAUGUGCACCUCAAUGUGGCUCAACAGCCCAUACAUUAUGCUGCUAAGAUUAGAUAUAUUGUGUAGUUUUUGAUGAUCUCAAUGUAUCAGUUCUCUUA